AAGCCUGCACUCUUGCCUUGUAGUUCCCAGAUGGUCAAAGAGCGGGCCAUGUUUAGGAAUACGUGCUUGUAGCAUCCCGACGUGCCCCUUUUUUUUUUCUUUUCUUUAUUCCCGAGGCUGGAAUUCACUCUGUAGCCUGAGUGCUGGGAUGGAUUCCUGGCAAGAGCCCCCGCCCUGGCCUAUUUCAUUAAGGCCGAUGGUGGUGACAUGGCUCAGGGCAUUCCGGCAGGUGCCACCAAAUCUGACAAGCCUGAUCCCGUUUUAGAAUCCCGGAAGCCCAAUUGAACUGGCUCCUGUACAUCGUCCUCUGAUCUCCACACUAGUGAUAUGGCACAGGCUCAGAGCGGGUCGCAGCUACUGGCUAUUUUUUAAUGCCCGGACGAAUUAAGCGUCUGUAAGAUGCUCCGUUUCAAAUGUUAGGCGCCUGGGGAUUGGCCGGGAGGGCUCAUGUUUAGAACACCCAUCUGCGGCCAUAGGCCAGAGGGAGGUCACAGCACUUGUUAAAAUAUUCAAAAUGUACAUCCCAGACCUUGGAUAUGACAGGUCAGGCAGCCUAAGUCUAAAUUCUCCCCUGUCUAACAUAGGACAACCUGGGAAGGUAGUUUAGGGCUGGAGAGAUGGCUGGGCAGUUGAGAACACCGGCUGUUCUUCCAGAGCACCUGGGUCCAGUCUCCACCACCUACACAGCAGCUCACAACCCUCUGUGAUUCCAGUUCCAGGACAUCUGUUGACCUCUUCUCUCCCCUGCAGGUACCUACCAUGCCAAGCAGUGCGCUGAUAAUUUAUGCAAGCGAAACGCCUAUAUGCAUAAUCGAGCUCCUCCC
rnacentral:lncRNA from 1 species